rnacentral:rRNA from 1 species
UAGGGAAUAUUGGGCAAUGGAGGCAACUCUGACCCAGCCAUGCCGCGUGCAGGAAGAAGGCGUUAUGCGUUGUAAACUGCUUUUAUAUAGGAAGAAAGAGUUUUUGCGAGAACAGUUGACGGUACUAUAUGAAUAAGCACCGGCUAACUCCGUGCCAGCAGCCGCGGUAAUACGGAGGGUGCAAGCGUUGUCCGGAUUUAUUGGGUUUAAAGGGUGCGUAGGCGGUUUAUUAAGUCAGUGGUGAAAGACGGUCGCUCAACGAUUGCAGUGCCAUUGAUACUGGUAGACUUGAGUGAGAAUGAGGUAGCUGGAAUGGAUAGUGUAGCGGUGAAAUGCAUAGAUAUUAUCCAGAACACCAAUUGCGUAGGCAAGUUACUAANUCUCAACUGACGCUGAGGCACGAAAGUGUGGGUAUCAAACAGGAUUAGAUACCCUGGUAGUCCACACUGUAAAACGAUGAUAACUAACUGUUGG